UUGGACCUACGGGGGGCAGCAGUGAGGAAUAUUGGUCAAUGGGCGGGAGCCUGAACCAGCCAAGCCUCGUGAAGGAAGAAGGCGCCAGGCGUCGUAAACUUCUUUUGUCGGGGAACAAAGGGCGCCACGCGUGGCGUUGUGAGUGUACCCGAAGAAAAAGCAUCGGCUAACUCCGUGCCAGCAGCCGCGGUAAUACGGAGGAUGCGAGCGUUAUCCGGAUUUAUUGGGUUUAAAGGGUGCGCAGGCGGGCUGUUAAGCCGGCGGUAAAAAUUCAGGGCUCAACCCUGUCGAGCCGUCGG
rnacentral:rRNA from 1 species